rnacentral:misc_RNA from 1 species
CUGCUGCUGCGGCUUAGGUCGCC